rnacentral:rRNA from 1 species
GACGAACGCUGGCGGCGUGCUUAACACAUGCACGUCGAACGAAGUGGCGAACGGGUGAGUAAUACGUGGGUAACCUGCCCUCCUUUUUGGGAUAAGCCUAGGUAACGGGGUCUAAUUCCUACUAAAGGGGGAUGGGCUCGCGGCCUCUCAGCAUGUUGGUGCGGGGUUGGCCUACCAAGGCGGUGACGGGUAGCCGGCCUGAGAGGGUGAUCAGGCCGAUUGGGAUUGAAAGAAGGGCCAGACUCCUACGGGAGGCGGCAGGGGCGGAUAUUGCGCACUGGGCGAAAGCCCGGUGCAGCGAGGACGCAAGGGGGAUGAAGGCUUGCGGGUUGUAAGCCUGAUCCGCUAUCGAAAGAGUAGGUGGAGAAGAAGCACCUGCUAACUACGUGCCAGCAGCCGCGGUAAUUC